CAGCAGCCGCGGUAAACCGUAGGAGGCGAGCGUUAUCCGGAAUUACUGGGCGUAAAGGGCGUGUAGAUGGCUUUCUAAGUCGGCUGUGAAAUCUCCCGGCUCAACUGGGAGGGGUCAGUCGAUACUGGGGAGCUUGAGGGCAGCAGAGGAAAGUGGAAUUCCCGGU
rnacentral:rRNA from 1 species